rnacentral:lncRNA from 1 species
UAAUUACUUGUUCGGUCAUUUCUGUAAUAAUUAUUCAAAGUGGUUAAAAGUAGAGUUGAAUCUUAAAAAAUAGGAAAGAGAAGAUACCUUUAGAUAUACAACAUAAAUAAGAUAAUUAUGAUAAUUACCAAACCAAAAAAGGAAUACCUAAAAGAAAGAAAAGAAGAUAUCAGUAACGCAUAUAUUAUCUAAAAAACAUAGAAAGCCAAUUAGAAAAAAUAGUAGAAAAGAAACAAACAAAAUUUUACAAAGAUCAACGUUACUUGAAGAAUUAACUAAAGUACAAGCUCCAGAAGAAGAACUAAAGAAUUAUGUUUCCUUGACUACAGUCCAAACAAAAGAAUUGAAACGUUAUUUUAGAGAAUUAACCGCAACUACUAUAGAAACUUUAAUUAAUCCAAUCGAUAAGUGCACUAUAAAUAAUACAGAAUCUAAAUUAAACACGAUUAAAGGUACAAAAAGAAAAAGACUGUUUAUACUUAACAACAUAAAACAGAAGUUCUCUAACUCACAUACAUUUACUGAUACAAUGACUCAGAGUCACUAGAAACGAUUGCGGGAAGCAUAAUGGAGAAUGGAAAAGAGAUUCUUGAAUUAAUUCUUUACUGAACAUUGAAGAAAAUAAAAUAAUGAUUAAUGAAGAGCUUAUACAUAUCGACGAAAUAGAUGAAGAAAAUGCGCUCCACGAAGUCGAAGGUAAUAGUUCCGAGGAAGAAAAUUAUGAACGAAAAAAGGAGCUUGCACUUACAUUCUCCAUUUUUUGAAAAUUAAAACAGUGACACUUUCUUACGAACAUUAUAUUUGAAGAAGUAGGAAUAACAUAUAAAAUUGGGAGGAAUGAUGAUUGAUAAAAACGCUUUUAUCAAUUCAUAGAGCGCAAAAAAGUUGGCAUAGAACAUUAAGAACUGGAGAAAAUGAAUAUAUGCAUUUAAUUGCUAACUAUUUGCUAAUUCGAAAUUCAUAAUUGCUAACUCUUUUAAUUAAUUAUUUAAUUAGUUAUUGAUAAUUGAAAAUGUGAAAUUUUUUUUUAUUUCUUAGUAAAGCAACGUAAUUGGCCACAGCAGAAAAAAAAUGAAUAAGUGCAGUAAAUUGCUAACAAAAUGUUUAUUUAAAAUCCAUAACUUCUAACUUUAUUAAUUAAUUAUUUAAUUACUUAUUAAUAAUUACAAAUGUGGAAACGUCAUGAGGAGAUUAUAUGUUAUACGCAUGCGAAACCACAAAUUCAAGAUGCAAGCGCACUUUGAAAAAAAUAAAAGUAAAGUUGGUAAACCUACACGGGAUAUAUUUAAAGUUGAUUUCCAAAGUAACAACCAUGGAGACUAUACAAGGAACACGAGCUCCAUGUAUACAAAUGGGAUAUAAAAAUAAGAAGGCGCCUGUGUUCUAUUUCGUUUUUAUAUGAGAACAUACCCAUCAUAUAGGUUAAAAGAAGUGUUCCUUUUUUUUAAUAAACAUACUUAUAUGACUUCAAAAA